rnacentral:tRNA from 1 species
GGCUCCAUAGUGUGGUGGUUAGCAUGUCUGCUUUACACACAGAAGGUCCUGGAUUUGCACCCCAGGUGGAGCCA